GCAUUUUUUUGUUCUGUUUCAGAAUCAAAGCCAUAGAAACCAAGGAGAAGGAUGAUGACACAAAAUGGCUGACCUACUGGGUGACUUACAGCGUCUUCUCCUUGGCAGAGUUUUUCUCUGAUAUCUUCCUUUUCUGGAUUCCUUUCUACUGGUUUCUUAAGUGUUUAUUCCUAGUCUGGUGUAUGGUUCCUGUUGAUGCUUUCAAUGGCAGUAUCAUCAUCUACUACCGCUUUAUCCGACCAUUUGUCCUGCGUCACCAGGACUCCGUGGACAAGACACUGGGCAAGGCCAAGGACUUGGCAGGGGACGCUCUCAAAGAAGGUGAGAAGCUUGCCCGUGAAGCGGUUGUUGAAGGCAAAUUGGAUUAAUACUGCAGAUAGCCAGUCAGCGACGCACCUUCACCCUAACUGGAGCAUUGCCCUUCUAUAAUUUACACAGACUUUGUACAUUUCUGUCCCACAAUUUAGGUGCAAGUUAAAGUUGAAACAAGCGGGGGUUUGGUUUUCGUUUCCAGUUGAAGGACAAACAUUGUAGGAAUGUGGGUGUGACAGCGUCUCACCUAACACAAUACAGGAAGUGGACUAUGAUGUCUACCGCUAACAUUGUGUUGGCUGUGAUUCUGUCACAACUAACACAAUAACAAUAAUGGGAUAUGACAUUUAUUUACUCAAUGUGUUAAGAUGUUUUCUCUCUGUGGGGGCAGACUUGGGUUGGAGCAAUGUGGUCUUAUGUUGCUUCAGCUCUAGAGGUGCUAUGUACACAAUUCAGGGUGUACUAUUACUAAGGACCUUUUUCAAUUCCUGACACACUGUAGAUGUCAAGGUGACAGUAUCUUGCAAAUGUGGUUUAAUUAUUAAGAAAUGAGGUAUAGAUGUGGAUAUAGAUGUUUAAUAAGGACAUGACUUCACUCUUGGUGUCAGGGUCAUCUAGUGCAAUCAUAUCAGUGGUAGGGGCAGGGGGGAUUGGGGGGGGGGGAGAGGAGUUGGAAGGCAAGGGUCUGUAAACCAGGCUGGUCCAGCAGGAACGUACUUUGAUCUGACCGGUGUGAGUUUGAUCAGCACAAUUAUAUAUAUAUAUAAAUCUGCCAGUGUGUUUAUUUAUUUAUGAAUUACUAUAGAUAAAAAUAGAUUUCACCGAAUGGAUUGUUAAUACCUCUAACAAAUAAUGACUAAAUUUGAAGAAUGUGAAAUUUAUAACCACACAGUUUUAUAGUUAUUAUUCACAAUCAUGUCAGGAGAUGGCUGGGGGGAUGUUUUCUUGUCCAGAUACUCUCAUGUCAGUGAAUUCCACUUGCUAUCAUUGUACAUAAUGAAAGUAACAUGUAUGAUUUGAAUUAUUUUUUUUUUGCUCAAAUUUCCUUUCGCACUUUUGUACUGGUAUGGGAUUUUUAAAAAACUUAUAUGGAUGUACAAAUGCAGUGUGCUGCAUAUAGCUUGAUACCUUGAAUAUCUGUGAAAUAGGAGUGUUGGCAAAUAUAUAAAUUAUUAUAACACCAUUAGUCUGAAAUAAAAUGUGCUGCUGCCUAUAAAUUGUUUUCUUUAUUCAUUAGAAAAGUAGUAUUUUUCUUUGUAAAAAAAGUCAUCAGUAAGACUACAUUCCCACAGAUUAAGAUCGAUCCAUCUGGGAGUUCAUGCUAAAUUGCUGUCAGCUCAAGAGGC